rnacentral:rRNA from 1 species
CGCAAGGUGAGUGGCAGACGGGUGAGUAACGGGUGGGAACCUUCCCUGUGGUACGGAAUAACUUCGGGAAACCAAAGCUAAUACCGUAUAUCCCCUCCGGGGGAAAGAUUUAUCGCCAUGGGAUGGGCCCGCGUUGGAUUAGCUAGUUGGUAGGGUAAUGGCCUACCAAGGCAACGAUCCAUAGCUGGUCUGAGAGGAUGAUCAGCCACACUGGGACUGAGACACGGCCCAGACUCCUACGGGAGGCAGCAGUGGGGAAUAUUGGACAAUGGGCGCAAGCCUGAUCCAGCCAUGCCGCGUGAGUGAAGAAGGCCUUAGGG